AUUGAACGCUGGCGGCAUGCCUUACACAUGCAAGUCGAACGGUAACAGGUCUUCGGAUGCUGACGAGUGGCGAACGGGUGAGUAAUACAUCGGAACGUGCCUAGUAGUGGGGGAUAACUACUCGAAAGAGUGGCUAAUACCGCAUGAGAUCUACGGAUGAAAGCAGGGGAUCGCAAGACCUUGUGCUACUAGAGCGGCCGAUGGCAGAUUAGGUAGUUGGUGGGAUAAAAGCUUACCAAGCCGACGAUCUGUAGCUGGUCUGAGAGGACGAUCAGCCACACUGGGACUGAGAUACGGCCCAGACUCCUACGGGAGGCAGCAGUGGGGAAUUUUGGACAAUGGGCGCAAGCCUGAUCCAGCAAUGCCGCGUGCAGGAUGAAGGCCUUCGGGUUGUAAACUGCUUUUGUACGGAACGAAAAGCCCUGGGUUAAUACCCUGGGGUCAUGACGGUACCGUAAGAAUAAGCACCGGCUAACUACGUGCCAGCCGCCGCCGUAA
rnacentral:rRNA from 1 species